rnacentral:rRNA from 1 species
GACGUAGGGCGCAAGCGUUGUCCGGAUUUAUUGGGCGUAAAGAGCUCGUAGGCGGUGUGUCACGUCGGCCGUGAAAACCUACAGCUUAACUGUGGGCGUGCGGUCGAUACGGGCAUCACUGGAGUUCGGCAGGGGAGACUGGAAUUCCUGGUGUAGCGGUGAAAUGCGCAGAUAUCAGGAGGAACACCGGUGGCGAAGGCGGGUCUCUGGGCCGAUACUGACGCUGAGGAGCGAAAGCGUGGGGAGCAAACAGG